UUCGAGCUCCUGGAUUCACCUGCCCAACACGUUUGGGAACCCUCCAACGAUUGCAGGAGUGUUUCACCUCAAUCCCCCCCACCCCGAGACAGCUGGGCCCAUCCCUGUUCCUGGCUUCCCUGCGCUCAGCUCAGGGCCCGACACAAGCAGCGGCCCCUCAGUGGACAGAGGUGAUCGCAGGAGCGCGUCCACGUGCUUGGCGGCCUUCCGUGCCCAUUUGCCCGGGGAUGUCAGCCCAGCCCCGGCGUCUCAUGGCAAGCCUGCCUCUCUGCCUCUCUUCCAGGUCUGGAACGAUUUCAUGAACCGCUCCGGGGAGGAGCAGGAGCGGGUUCUUCGCUACCUGGAGGAUGAGGGCAGGAGCAAGGCGCGGAGGAGGGGCCCUGGCCGGGGGGAGGACCGGAGGAGAGAGGAUCCUGCCUAUACACCCCGCGAGUGCUUCCAGCGCAUCAGCCGGCGUCUGCGAGCCGUCCUGAAGCGCAGCCGCAUCCCCAUGGAAACGCUGGAGACCUGGGAGGAGCGGCUGCUUCGGUUCUUCU
rnacentral:sRNA from 1 species